AAUAGAUACCCGGGUAGUCCUUGCCGUAAACUAUGUAUACUUGGUGUAACUGGACUCAACCCUAGUUGUGCCGAAGCUAACGCGAUAAGUAUACCGCCUGAGGAGUACGCUCGCAAGGGUGAAACUCAAAAGAAUUGACGGGGACCCGCACAAGCAGUGGAGCAUGUGGUUUAAUUCGAUGCAACGCGAAGAACCUUACCCAGACUUGACAUGCAGUAGACAGUACCAGAGAUGGUAUCUUCCUUCGGGACUGCUGCACAGGUGCUGCAUGGCUGUCGUCAGCUCGUGCCGUGAGGUGUUGGGUUAAGUCCCGCAACGAGCGCAACCCUUAUCAUUAGUUGCCAACAUUUAAGGUGGGAACUCUAAUGAGACUGCCUGGGUUAACCAGGAGGAAGGUGAGGAUGACGUCAAGUCCGCAUGGCCCUUAUGUCUGGGGCUACACACGUACUACAAUGGUCGGUACAGAAGGCAGCGAAGCCGCGAGGUGAAGCAAAUCCCAAAAGCCGAUCCCAGUCUC
rnacentral:rRNA from 1 species